GAUGAACGCUGGCGGCGUGCCUAAUACAUGCAAGUCGAGCGAACGGACGAGAAGCUUGCUUCUCUGAUGUUAGCGGCGGACGGGUGAGUAACACGUGGAUAACCUACCUAUAAGACUGGGAUAACUUCGGGAAACCGGAGCUAAUACCGGAUAAUAUUUUGAACCGCAUGGUUCAAAAGUGAAAGACGGUCUUGCUGUCACUUAUAGAUGGAUCCGCGCUACAUUAGCUAGUUGGUAAGGUAACGGCUUACCAAGGCAACGAUGCAUAGCCGACCUGAGAGGGUGAUCGGCCACACUGGAACUGAGACACGGUCCAGACUCCUACGGGAGGCAGCAGUAGGGAAUCUUCCGCAAUGGGCGAAAGCCUGACGGAGCAACGCCGCGUGAGUGAUGAAGGUCUUCGGAUCGUAAAACUCUGUUAUUAGGGAAGAACAUAUGUGUAAGUAACUGUGCACAUCUUGACGGUACCUAAUCAGAAAGCCACGGCUAACUACGUGCCAGCAGCCGCGGUAAUACGUAGGUGGCAAGCGUUAUCCGGAAUUAUUGGGCGUAAAGCGCGCGUAGCGGUUUUUUAGUCUGAUGUGAAAGCCCACGGCUCAACCGUGGAGGGUCAUUGGAAACUGGAAAACUUGAGUGCAGAAGAGGAAAGUGGAAUUCCAUGUGUAGCGGUGAAAUGCGCAGAGAUAUGGAGGAACACCAGUGGCGAAGGCGACUUUCUGGUCUGUAACUGACGCUGAUGUGCGAAAGCGUGGGGAUCAAACAGGAUUAGAUACCCUGGUAGUCCACGCCGUAAACGAUGAGUGCUAAGUGUUAGGGGGUUUCCGCCCCUUAGUGCUGCAGCUAACGCAUUAAGCACUCCGCCUGGGGAGUACGACCGCAAGGUUGAAACUCAAAGGAAUUGACGGGGACCCGCACAAGCGGUGGAGCAUGUGGUUUAAUUCGAAGCAACGCGAAGAACCUUACCAAAUCUUGACAUCCUUUGACAACUCUAGAGAUAGAGCUUUCCCCUUCGGGGGACAAAGUGACAGGUGGUGCAUGGUUGUCGUCAGCUCGUGUCGUGAGAUGUUGGGUUAAGUCCCGCAACGAGCGCAACCCUUAAGCUUAGUUGCCAUCAUUAAGUUGGGCACUCUAAGUUGACUGCCGGUGACAAACCGGAGGAAGGUGGGGAUGACGUCAAAUCAUCAUGCCCCUUAUGAUUUGGGCUACACACGUGCUACAAUGGACAAUACAAAGGGCAGCGAAACCGCGAGGUCAAGCAAAUCCCAUAAAGUUGUUCUCAGUUCGGAUUGUAGUCUGCAACUCGACUACAUGAAGCUGGAAUCGCUAGUAAUCGUAGAUCAGCAUGCUACGGUGAAUACGUUCCCGGGUCU
rnacentral:rRNA from 1 species